UAAUGUCCUUCGCUAACAGCAGCCC
rnacentral:piRNA from 1 species